UUGUAAUCGAGGGGGCACGACCAUCCUGGAACCCGUCGUUUCCUUCACCACGCGACGGCUACCCAACUCCUUUUCACCGCGCGCGUCUACUUUAACCGGCCACAUCUAGGUGCUCCCUCUGCCGCUAGGGAUUCUCGCUGUCUGUAUGCAGGAGCAGAUAUCACACCGCAUCACCGUCGCCAGGACGCCCGCCUGCGCGCUCCACUUACACCUGGUGGUGUGUUGAUUCCGCUGCGGCACAUCCAUAUGUUGUACAGGUAAAACCUACAGGAGUAGCUCGAGUUGGAUCUCUUCCAAAUUGCAGAUCUCGGAGUACUCCAAGGCCUCUCUGGGCGUUGGUACACGGGCCGGGCGCCGUUCUGUCGCUGGCCACUCAGAAUCGUAGAUCGUCGAUGAAGGUCUAACCUAUGUUGCCUCUGCACGCCAUUGCUCAGCUCCUCGGACACCGUCGGCGUCAACGAGCGGCGAGGAGUCGGUCUUGAUCAGCGAAGACGACUUCCCCGGGACUCCAUCUUCGUGGCUGGCACAACAGUUAAUCAGGUGGGCAUUGCCGCGCUUACUUUCACAAGUGAGAUACGAAUACAAUUGUUGGUCGUUUGGAUCCAGUGGGAUGGUGCGGAGGUGGACGAUGGCCGGACUCCCUGUUAGAGACACCUUUGCCUCUUUGUGGGGCAGGUCGACAGCUUUGAAUCGCUCAAGCGACGAGUUUUAAGGAAGCUUGGAGUAUUCUGUCUCACUAUGGAGCCUGGGAGCUUGGAGUACUUUGCUUUGCACCAACACCUCCAGAUAUUAGUGCAUGGCUAGCUGUGGCUCUAUGUUUGCUUACUAAUCAAACCAUCAACCUUUUGAGACUUGGAAAGUUGUCAGUUUUUUUACGGAGGAUAGUUGUCAGUUUGAGGAGCUUGCUUUCCUACAUCGUACCUCCCGCUCUUUUUUAGAUGUUGCUUUUUUAUAUCUUUCGUGGAUCGGUGCCUCGACGUUAGGAGGGGCUUGCCUGGUCAUUUUUGCCUUUUGCAAUAAAUCAGUGGCAUUUGGAAGGCUAUAAUUCUUUGGUAGCAUCAGUGAAAAUAAAUUAAAUGUGCUCUUUCAAUUGUUACAGUUAACUUUGUUUCCUUCAUGCCCUUGAUAUUGGUAACAGGAAGAUAUCCCAACUAUUGAUGUUUAUGAUGCAAACUUCCUAGUGGGAUGGUCUUGAACUUAUGCUGAGUCUGCAAUGCUCGUGGGGAAUCAGGUCCCUACUUUUUUUCUUCUUCUUCUUCAAGAAUUUAGAUAAAGUUUUCAUCCUUCCCCAAUGAUGCUACACAUUAUAAGAUCGUUGCUAUGCCUUCGGUUGCAUUGGUUCAGUUUUGAUGGUCCAGCCUUAAAGCCAUGUAACAAAAGGACUUUCAGCGACUUUCAUCUUCAAUUGAAACUCAACUCUAAGAACAUAGUAGAUGCAAAUUGCAUUGGCUUUUAGAUCGAUCUACCCAUUAGGGUCACUAGCUUAGUUGAGCUAUUUGUCAUGCCUCUCAUUGUACCUUCAUUUAUAUGACCACAUGAAUCUGGCUUGAAAUAAGUAAAUUGCAGACUAAAAUGAUUCAAUUUUCUGAGAAACCAAUAAUUA